AUUGAACGCUGGCGUCAGGCCUAACACAUGCAAGUCGAACGGUAACAGGAAGAAGCUUGCUUCUUUGCUGACGAGUGGCGGACGGGUGAGUAAUGUCUGGGAAACUGCCUGAUGGAGGGGGAUAACUACUGGAAACGGUAGCUAAUACCGCAUAACGUCGCAAGACCAAAGAGGGGGACCUUCGGGCCUCUUGCCAUCGGAUGUGCCCAGAUGGGAUUAGCUAGUAGGUGGGGUAACGGCUCACCUAGGCGACGAUCCCUAGCUGGUCUGAGAGGAUGACCAGCCACACUGGAACUGAGACACGGUCCAGACUCCUACGGGAGGCAGCAGUGGGGAAUAUUGCACAAUGGGCGCAAGCCUGAUGCAGCCAUGCCGCGUGUAUGAAGAAGGCCUUCGGGUUGUAAAGUACUUUCAGCGGGGAGGAAGGGAGUAAAGUUAAUACCUUGGCUCAUUGACGUUACCCGCAGAAGAAGCACCGGCUAACUCCGUG
rnacentral:rRNA from 1 species